rnacentral:tRNA from 1 species
GCGGGUGUAGCUCAGUGGUAGAGCGUCACCUUCCCAAGGUGGGCGUCGUGAGUUCGAUUCUCAUCACCCGCU